AUGCCUGGGGAAGGCGCUCCCAGCGUACACACACAGGCAGCGGCAGCCAAACUAGACGCCAGGACAUGCCCACUGCACGGCCCCACCUCCUCAGCCAGCCCAACCCCGACCCUGGCAUCGCGAGGAGGGCUGACCCAUGACCUGUUUCUCAAUCAGGGUAGCGGGUACUCGGUUUCAGGGUCCUGCAAAGUGACAGGACGUUUCCUCUUUGAGUUCAUGCUCUUCAAUGCCAACGGGAGCGCCGCGACCCCAACGACAGGGACGGGUCCUACUGGACACAACGUGAGCAGGGUGGCUCGGGUCCUGCCGGCCCUGCAGGAUGGCUCUCGGGCACGGCGGCACCCUCCCCAUGCCAAAGGCACGCAUGAAGCUGUUCUGAAAGAAACUAGGCGGAGUAACAGGUUAGAAGACACACCUACCAGUGGCGGCCACCAGGUAUCAAGGACCAAAUAAGGAUAAAAAGGGGUGGCACCCCACUCCCUGGAAAGUCCUGCCCCUUCCAGGGCUGGCACAGGCAGCCCUGGUGUGGACAUUUUUUAGUAUCUCUUAUGCAGAAUAAAGCUUAUGCUUCCUCAUCAUGAGCCUCAUUCCUCCCCUUUCAUCUUUAGUCUUUAAAAUUAAGUCCGUCUUGCAAGGUGGGUAAGAUGCUGAUCUGUCAACCUAGUUCCCACUUUUCUAUUCCUUGACCACCGAGUAAAGCUUAUGCUACACUGAUCUCAGCUUGGGUUUCAUUAUUCACCUACUUGAACCUGAACAGAAAAAGAACCUUCCCCAAACCGAGGUGGAGGGCCUCGGCUACACCAGGGCCUGAGCGGCAUCUCUCCACAUGACUUAAUUCAGCAACGAAAUUUUGUGUCCAACGUGGGGCCCCUUCCAUCUCGUAACUCAAGACCUGCCUCCUGCCCCAGGGCUGACAAAGCCGGCUAAAUCACUGGGCAGCUGGUCCCAGUUCUUGACCUCUGGGCCAGCCAGCAAGGGCCCCUAAAUUGAGCCUGAGGUCCCAAAGCAGCCAGGGUUCAAGUGCAGCGCUCCCCAGGUAAAGACACGCCCUCACUCCCAGCAUGUCUACAGUAAGGAUGCUGGCUAGAGACUGGGGUAGUGUCUGGGGGAUGCCCGGCACUGGACACGCUGACUCCACUUCAGCCGAUAAAGCUGGGGUGCCGAAGGGCUUGGCUGGUCAAGGGAAAGGACCCUGGGCGUCUGGUUGGAGCCAGACCUCUGUCUAGAGGACUGGACCAGGGGGUUGGUUGUCUAAAUGGAGCCAGUGUUAUGGUAAGGGGGUGGGGGGGCAAGAUUGGGCAAUUGGUUACCUGGUUGGACUGGCUCCUGGCAAAGGGGACAGGACUGGACAGACUGGAUGGGAAGCCCUCCGAGGCUGCCUGCCCUACGGUCAGCACAUCUCUUCAUGGGUGUCAUAAGCCUUAGCCUCUGUUCUUGAUACGAAUGAGGCUUCCAUCUCUGUCCUACGUGGCCUUGACUGUCCUACUGCUCUUGGAAACACCUGCUGUGACUGCGGGCGUGGGUUGAGCACGGCCAGGCCACUAGGGUGCUCAGCACGGAAGACUCCUGUGAAAGGAGAGGCUGGUCCUGGACCAGGGUGGAAGAGGAGCAGGCACCCUACAGAUUAGAAACAAAUGUUUGUGUAAGUAGGUGUGACGUAGACACUCACAGCCCACCCCCGGGGCGUGCCCACCUCCAGGGGACGGUCAGAAAUCCAGAAGCACGUCUCUCCUAUGGGUUCCUCUUGCUCUAGCCUGCCAUCCUGGGGCAAAGGUGUGCGUCUCCGCAGGAUAGGGCUCUCCCAGGACGCUCCUCCCAGAUCCCUAGGGAUCCUUCCUCUGAGACACAAGCCCUUUAAAAUCCUGAUUUUGCCAGGCUUCAGGAACAUCGCUUUGUCUAACCGGGGAAGGAAGAAGAGGGACCCCUGAUUGCCGGAGUCCCUGGGUCCCUGUGGCUGCGAGCACAGGACAGGUGUGCAUUCAGCCUCCCUGUCUGAUUACCUGUAACUGAGCAGGGUCAAGCCCUCCUUGAUGCCAGAGAGGCUUUCUGGGCAACUUCUCUGAGUAGAGAGCCCCUGUUUCCACCACCCCCCCGCACCCUACCUCUGGGGACUGCUUGCUGAAAGCACGCACCCACAUCCGGCGCCCCCUGCAGCCCCGCAGUGGGCCUGGGAACGUCCAGGCAUUGACUUAAAAGGGGUCCAGGUUUCAGCCAGAGCACCUAGACACCUCGGCGUGGACCAGAUCUUGUGAGACCUGCAUUGCCACCAACCCUAUGAAGAAGCCACUAGGAACCAACUAGAUUUAAGAACCCCUCCGUGCUGCCCCAGCAUCACUCAGCUCCAUUCUCCAAGGCUGGAAAUUCCUCGAGGGUCACCCCUAACAAAGAGCUUAGUUUCUUUUGCAACACCACGUGGUACACAGCGUGGCCCCAGGACAAAGCGGCAGAGGGAAGAAGUUGGCUCUCUGAAUUGCAAUCAAUUUUUCAAUUGGACCUCUGUUGCCAGCAUUUACAAAAGUGGGAUGAGAUCCCUUACGCACAAUUUUUCACGAUGCUUAGUCAAAACAAGGGCCUCCACACAAAACGCAAGGCUCGUCCAAAUCGCAUUCUCCUGGUAUCGGAGCCUCAGCCUGAGCAUCCUCUUCAUUUACACCCUGCACCAAGGGCAGCGCCUGUCCCAGCAGUUCACCCCAAGCU
rnacentral:lncRNA from 9 species